GUCAUUGUGGCUCAAUGGGUGGUGCGUUGGACUUCUAAUCCAAAGGUCGUGGGUUCGAAUCCCACCUGGGAUGACC